UCUUUGCUUCCUCCGGCGGGAAGAAAGGAGGGAGGGAGCGUAUCGCCGCCGCCGCCGCGCCGAUUCGGCAUCGACGUCUUCCUAGGGAUUCGCGAUCCGUUCGGAGGGGAGAAUCUCGGCGUCGGAGGAGGAAUCGGAGCCGCGGUCGUGCCGCUGGUUUGGGGAGGAGAUGGAAGUCGGCGAUGUGUUGCAGGAGCUGCUGAGCGUGGAGGUCGAGCUUCAAGACGUCCAAGACCAGAUAAAGGUUUUGCUCGAUCGGCAAGAGAAGCUGUAUGAGCGGCAGUCUGAGCUGAAGUCGUUAUUGGAAGCGUGCGAGGAUGUCGGGAGCCCUGUGAAGGAUGGCGCGUCGACGUCGGCGGAAGAUUGGUCGGGCGUGUUUGACUGGGAUGCUCGAGCCGACGACGUCAAGUUCAACAUUUUUGGGAUACGCAAGUAUCGAGCGAAUCAGCGGGAGAUCAUAAAUGCCAUUAUGAGUCGAAGAGAUGUCCUGGUCAUCAUGGCUGCUGGUGGUGGCAAAAGCCUCUGCUACCAGCUUCCUGCCAUUCUUCAGGAAGGAGUUGCCCUUGUUGUCAGUCCAUUGCUUUCUUUGAUUCAGGAUCAGGUGAUGGGUCUGGCUGCAUUGGGCAUUCCGGCACAUAUGUUGACAUCAACUACUGGCAAGGACAAUGAAAAGUUUAUAUACAAGGCGCUUGAAAAGGGUGAAGGAGAGCUGAAGAUACUAUAUGUUACUCCAGAAAAGAUAUCCAAGAGCAAAAGGUUCAUGUCAAAGCUGGAGAAAUGCCACCAUGCGGGGCGUCUUUCUUUGAUAGCAAUUGAUGAGGCACACUGCUGUAGUCAAUGGGGUCACGACUUUCGGCCCGACUACAAAAACCUUGGUAUCUUGAAGACUCAGUUUCCCAACGUUCCUGUGGUUGCUUUGACUGCAACUGCUACAUGGAAAGUGCAAAAUGAUCUGAUGGAAAUGCUGCAGAUCCCCAAGUGUGUUAAGUUUGUCAGCACUGUUAACAGGCCAAAUCUCUUUUAUAUGGUACGAGAGAAGUCAUCAGUUGCUAAAGUGGUUAAUGAUGAAAUUGCUGAAUUUAUACGAGAAUCUUAUCCCAAUAAUGAAUCUGGAAUAGUUUAUUGCUUCUCUAGGAAGGAAUGUGAACAGGUUGCAAAGGAGUUACGAGAUAGAGGAAUUUCAGCGGAUCAUUAUCAUGCAGAUAUGGAUGUAACUGCUCGCGAGAAAGUUCAUCUGAGGUGGAGCAAUAGCAAGCUGCAAGUAAUUGUAGGGACGGUGGCAUUUGGAAUGGGAAUCAACAAACCUGAUGUCAGGUUUGUCAUCCAUCACAGUCUGAGUAAAUCAAUGGAAACAUACUACCAGGAAAGUGGGCGGGCUGGAAGAGAUGGACUUCCUUCAGAAUGUUUACUAUAUUAUAGGGCUGCAGAUGUUCCUAGGCAGAGUUCGAUGGUCUUCUAUGAGAACUCCGGGUUGCAAAACCUGUAUGACAUAGUGCGGUACUGUCAGAGUAAAAGACAAUGUCGACGAAGUGCUUUUUUCAGGCAUUUUGCUGAAGCAGUGCAAGACUGCAAUGGAAUGUGCGAUAACUGUGCCUUCUCUAAUGAGAUCAAAGAGGUGGAUGUAUCUGGUCAUGCAAAGCUUGUUAUUUCUUUGCUUCGAGAUGUACAGGAGAAGGAUCAGAGAUUGACCAUGUUGCAGCUGGUUGAUAAAAUAAAGACAAUGCAAAAGGAGUUAGGUUCUGAUCUUAAAAAGGAGCAAUUAGAGCAACUUGUGAUACAGUUGAUAUUGGAUCGAGUGUUGAAAGAAGAAUAUCAGCAUACAGCUUAUGCCACAAAUGCUUAUGUGACAGUUGGACCACUGACAAAGCAAGUUUUGCAAGGAAAGAUGAUGAUUAAGCUUGAGGUUUUAAGCAAUCAGAAGAGAAUGAACGACAAUGUCAAAUCUACUAAGCGCAGCCUCACCACCUCUGGUUUAGAGUUUAAACUUGAUGAGCUACGAAAGGAACUCUCUUCUAUUCAUGGGGGAAUAUUACCACAUUCAGUCUUGACAACUCAACAGAUAAGUAUGAUUAGCGCCAUAAAACCCAGCUCAAUAGAAGAGCUGGAGAGCAUAAUUGGGAAGCUCAAGUCGAAGAAGUAUGGGAGUAGAAUUCUUGAAGAAGUCGAGAAGUACGAAGGCUCUGAUCAGCCUGACAAGAAUUCGUCGCAUAAAAGCCAAAGCACUGAUGAUAGACCAUCGAAGAGACCAAAGACGAAAAAGCCUCUUGUUCUUAUAGAGACAAGUGAAGACGAAGCAUGAUAAUUAUCUCGCAUCUCUCGAACCAUUUUGUCGAAGUACCGUGAAACUACUCAAAUGGAUGGGAACUAGAUAAUGCGAGGUAGAUUCGCACGCUAUGGUCCUAUUUGUAGUUGCCUCGAACAGUGCUUAGGUUUAGGGCCUCAAAUUGUGACUCCCUGGCUGUUUCAGGGAGUGUCAACAUUAGCCGAGGAUGCGACGAAGAGUUCUUGCUUGCUAGCCUCUCUUCUUUCCCGCUCCAGUACCGUACUUACACUGCGAAGGUCGAUGAUUGUUUUCGAGAAGGGGCCAUAUGGUUUAUUGUGCAGGCAGUAAAGAUACCGCAUGAUCUUCCGGAGUUAUGGGAAAUGAGCAGCAGCUGCUCGAAGAACUUAGUUUUCUUUUGGUGUAAAGCGACAUACUCGAAGCUUGUUUACCUAGAAAUCUCUU